GAUUAUCGAAGGACAGAGACCUUAAUUCAUAAUC
rfam:Aquimarina atlantica strain 22II-S11-z7 contig7, whole genome shotgun sequence.